CCGCUGCCGGGCAUCGGCUUCCAGUCCGCGGAGGGCGAGGCGGCGUGGACAGCGGCCCCGGCACCCAGCGCCCCGCCGCCCGCAAGCCGCGCGCCCGUCCGCCGCGCCCCGAGCCCGCCGCUUCCUAUCUCAGCGCCCUGCCGCCGCCGCCGCGGCCCAGCGAGCGGCCCUGAUGCAGGCCAUCAAGUGUGUGGUGGUGGGAGACGGUGGGGUCGAGUGUACAUUGCCGUGUGGUCGUGUUUCCUGUAGGUGCUGUAAAAUACCUGGAGUGCUCGGCGCUCACACAGCGAGGCCUCAAGACAGUGUUUGACGAAGCGAUCCGAGCAGUCCUCUGCCCGCCUCCCGUGAAGAAGAGGAAGAGAAAAUGCCUGCUGUUGUAAAUGUCUCAGCCCCUCGUUCUUGGUCCUGUCCCUUGGAACCUUUGUACGCUUUGCUCAAAAAAAAACAAAAAAAAAAAACAAAAAAAAAAAACAACGGUGGAGCCUUCGCACUCAAUGCCAACUUUUUGUUACAGAUUAAUUUUUCCAUAAAACCAUUUUUUGAACCAAUCAGUAAUUUUAAGGUUUUGUUUGUUCUAAAUGUAAGAGUUCAGACUCACAUUCUAUUAAAAUUUAGCCCUAAAAUGAC
rnacentral:lncRNA from 1 species